rnacentral:rRNA from 1 species
UACGUAGGGUGCGAGCGUUAAUCGGAAUUACUGGGCGUAAAGCGUGCGCAGGCGGUGAUGUAAGACCGAUGUGAAAUCCCCGGGCUUAACCUGGGAACUGCAUUGGUGACUGCAUUGCUGGAGUAUGGCAGAGGGGGGGUGGAAUUCCACGUGUAGCAGUGAAAUGCGUAGAGAUGUGGAGGAACACCGAUGGCGAAGGCAGCCCCCUGGGCCAAUACUGACGCCUCAUGCA